rnacentral:rRNA from 1 species
CGAGAAGGCCCGCAAGGGUAAGUAAAGUGGCGUACGGGUGAGUAACACGUGGAUGAUCUACCUUCUAGUGGGGAAUACCUUUGGGAAACCGAAGACAAUACCGCAUAAGCUCGAGAGAGGAAAGCAGCAAUGCGCUGGAAGAGGAGUCCGCGGUCGAUUAGUUAGUUGGCGGGGUAAAGGCCCACCAAGACUGUGAUCGAUAGCCGGCCUGAGAGGGCACACGGCCACACUGGCACUGAAACACGGGCCAGACUCCUACGGGAGGCAGCAGUGGGGAAUAUUGCACAAUGGGGGAAACCCUGAUGCAGCGACGCCGCGUGAGCGAUGAAGCCCUUCGGGGUGUAAAGCUCUUUCGUCAGGGACGAUUAUGACGGUACCUGGAGAAGCAGCUGCGGCUAACUACGUGCCAGCAGCCGCGGUAAUACGUAGGCAGCAAGCGUUGUUCGGAAUUACUGGGCGUAAAGGGUGCGUAGGUGGCGCCGUAAGUGGGGUGUGAAAUCCCGGGGCUUACCCCGGGACUGCAUUCCAUACUGCGGUGCUUGAGGACUUGGAGAGGAGACUGGACUUUUACGGUGUAGCAGUGACAAUGCGUAGAGGAUCGUAAGGGAAGACCAGUGGCGAAGGCGGGGUCAUCUGGACAAGUUCCCUGACACUGAGGGCACCGAAGGGCCAGGGGGACGCAACACGGGAUUAGAUACCCCGGGUAGUCCUGGGGCCUAAAGAUGAAUGGCUUGGUGU